GCGGGAAUAACUCAGUGGUAGAGUCGCAGCUUCCCAAGCUGAAGGUCGCGGGUUCAAAUCCCGUUUCCCGCU
rnacentral:tRNA from 2 species